rnacentral:rRNA from 1 species
CCCUUUGUUUAUUUAUACCUUUGUUGCUUUGGCAGACCCGGCUUCGGCCCACCGGCUCCGGCUGGUCAGUGUCUGCCAGAGGACCUAAAACUCUGUUUGUUAAUAUUGUCUGAGUACUAUAUAAUAGUUAAAACUUUCAACAACGGAUCUCUUGGUUCUGGCAUCGAUGAAGAACGCAGCGAAAUGCGAUAAGUAAUGUGAAUUGCAGAAUUCAGUGAAUCAUCGAAUCUUUGAACGCACAUUGCGCCCUCUGGUAUUCCGGGGGGCAUGCCUGUUCGAGCGUCAUUACAACCCUCAAGCUUUGCUUGGUAUUGGACAUUGCCAGUUUCUGGCAGGUCUUAAAAUCAGUGGCGGUGCCAUUUGGCUUCAAGCGUAGUAAUUCUUCUCGCUUUGGAGAUCCAAGUGGUUACUUGCCAAUAACCCCCAAUUUUU